UAACUCCUCCAUUUUACUGUGCUGUUAGUGCUGCUGUACUCCCUACCUUUCCCAUUGUUCCUAGCCCUGCUACUAUCCUUUCCUACAAAGCACCGGUGCUGAGGAGUUGUUACAGCCUCAAAUAAGGAAAAGGUUGCAUUAAGUCCAAACAUAAAAGGAUUAAGGUUAUUGUUAAAUAAGAUGCAUCUAAAUAUAAAAAAUAAAUGUGUGUGUAUGUAAAUAGGUGUGUAUAAAUAAAUAAAAGGGGGGUUAGUCAAAAAAGCCCAUGCUCCUUGCUAAAUUGGUAGUAAAACAAUGCCUGUGCCCAUGGAAAAAAUAAUGCAACAACAACAAAAAAAGAAUCGGGCCCAGACAAGCAGGCAACCACAGUUUGAAAAAGUUAAAAGAAAAGAAAGUGAGAGGUUAACUCUGUAGUUACUGAAGAAAAUUAAGCAAAAAGAAAAGAAAAGAAAAGAAAAUUCUUGGUUUCUUUGCAGCCAUUCCUUUGAAGAAAGGGCACAUUUCUUUGGAAAAAUUUCUCUAAAUAAUCCAGGCAAAAGGUUAUUUAAAUAAAAUCAUUUACAUAAGUUUGGCAGAUUAGCUAAAAAACACUCCUGGUGUGUACAAUCUUUAUUUUAUAAGUUUAAAAUAAAUUGGUGUUGUUUUAAAAUUCUAAAAC